rnacentral:tRNA from 1 species
UUUAAUAGAAGCCAAAAAGAGGCAUUUCACUGUUAAUGAAUAAAUUGAUUUUAAAUCCUAUUAAAU